GUUUUUCGCUUCGGCAGCACAUAUACUAAAAAAUUGGAAUGAUACAGAGAAGAUUAGCAUGGCCCCUGCUUAUGUAUAUUUUAAAAAACCACUUAGAGGUUUUU